AAUAUUGGACAAUGGGCGAAAGCCUGAUCCAGCCAUCCCGCGUGUAUGAUGAAGGCCUUCGGGUUGUAAAGUACUUUUGGCAGAGAAGAAAAGGUAUCUCCUAAUACGAUAUACUGCUGACGGUAUCUGCAGAAUAAGCACCGGCUAACUACGUGCCAGCAGCCGCGGUAAUACGUAGGGUGCAAGCGUUAAUCGGAAUUACUGGGCGUAAAGCGUGCGCAGGCGGUUCGGAAAGAAAGAUGUGAAAUCCCAGGGCUUAACCUUGGAACUGCAUUUUUAACUACCGGGCUAGAGUGUGUCAGAGGGAGGUGGAAUUCCGCGUGUAGCAGUGAAAUGCGUAGAUAUGUGGAGGAAUACCGAUGGCGAAGGCAGCCCCCUGGGAUAAUACUGACGCUCAGACACGAAAGCGUGGGGAGCAAACAG
rnacentral:rRNA from 1 species